rnacentral:tRNA from 1 species
GCUCGCAUGGCGGAACAGGAAGACGCAUGGGACUUAAAAUCCCAGGAAGAAAUUCGUGAGGGUUCGAUUCCCUCUGUGAGUA